rnacentral:rRNA from 1 species
AGUGAACGCUGGCGGUAGGCCUAACACAUGCAAGUCGAACGGCAGCACAGUAAGAGCUUGCUCUUACGGGUGGCGAGUGGCGGACGGGUGAGGAAUACAUCGGAAUCUACUUUUUCGUGGGGGAUAACGUAGGGAAACUUACGCUAAUACCGCAUACGACCUACGGGUGAAAGCAGGGGAUCUUCGGACCUUGCGCGAUUGAAUGAGCCGAUGUCGGAUUAGCUAGUUGGCGGGGUAAAGGCCCACCAAGGCGACGAUCCGUAGCUGGUCUGAGAGGCUGAUAGGCCACACUGGAACUGGGACACGGUCCAGACUCCUACGGGAGGCAGCAGUGGGGAAUAUUGGACAAUGGGCGGAAGCCUGAUCCAGCCAUACCGCGUGGGUGAAGAAGGCCUUCGGGUUGUAAAGACCUUUUGUUGGGAAAGAAAAGCAGCAGGUUAAUACCCCGCUGUUCUGACGGUACCCAAAGAAUAAGCACCGGCUAACUUCGUG